rnacentral:rRNA from 1 species
UACAGAGGGUGCAAGCGUUAAUCGGAAUUACUGGGCGUAAAGCGCACGCAGGCGGUUGGUUAAGUCAGAUGUGAAAGCCCCGGGCUCAACCUGGGAAUUGCAUUUGAAACUGGCCAACUAGAGUACGUGAGAGGGGGGUAGAAUUCCAAGUGUAGCGGUGAAAUGCGUAGAGAUUUGGAGGAAUACCAGUGGCGAAGGGGGCCCCCUGGCACGAUACUGACGCUCAGGUGCGAAAGCGUGGGGAGCAAACAGG